GGGCGGCGGCGGCGCGGCUGGAAGGGCCGGGGCGGUUCUAGAAAGCGGCGAGAGGCGCGGCGGGGCCGGGUGAGCGGGGCAGGCGUCCGGCGGGCUGCAGGUGGUCUGUGAGAACGAAGCUGAGCUAAAGUGCCACCAACAGCCCUUACCAGGAUAACACUUCACCUUUCUGGUGUUACGGACCUAGGAAAUAAUCCUGCAGGUUUGAGCUAUUUGGAAGAUGAAGCCCAGGCUGCAGUUGGUGUUCUUUACCUGUAUUCUCUUGAUCUGGCACACAGAAGCUGAGUUCUUCACAUCCAUAGGUCAAAUGACAGACCUGAUUUAUGCGGAGAAGGACUUGGUACAGUCUUUAAAGGAAUAUAUCAGAGCAGAAGAGAGCAAGCUCGCUCAGAUUAAAAGCUGGGCUGAAAAACUGGAUGUACUGACCAGCAAGUCAACCUCAGAUCCAGAAGGGUACCUGGCACAUCCUGUAAACGCGUACAAGCUGGUGAAGCGUUUAAAUACUGACUGGCUGGAAUUGGAAAACCUGGUUCUUCAGGAUACAACGAAUGGCUUUAUUGCAAAUCUUACAAUUCAGCGUCAGUUCUUCCCAACGGAAGAGGAUGAGACUGGAGCUGCGAAGGCCCUGAUGCGCCUGCAGGACACGUACAAACUGGAUCCUGAAACACUCUCUCGAGGCAACUUACCAGGAACAAAAUAUAGGUCCUAUUUGACAGUAGGUGACUGCUUUGGUAUGGGGAGGACUGCUUACAAUGAUGGAGACUACUAUCACACAGUACUCUGGAUGGAACAAGCCUUAAAACAACAUGAUGAGGGGGAGGAUACGAGAGUCAGCAAAGUGGAGAUCCUAGAUUAUCUCAGCUAUGCUGUUUUCCAGUUUGGGGAUUUGCACAGAGCCAUGGAGCUUACCAGGCGGCUGAUAUCUCUUGACAGUACUCAUGAGAGGGCAGGCAGUAAUCUGCGGUACUUUGAGAAGUUGCUGGAAAAGGAGAGAGAGGAGGAGGAGAAAGAGAAGUCAAACAAGACCAUGACAACAACAGAACCAGUGGUGCAAAGUGGUGCCUAUGAGAGGCCUCUUGACUACUUGCCAGAGCGUGAUAUCUAUGAGGCCCUUUGCAGAGGUGAAGGGGUAAAAAUGACACCUCGAAGACAGAAAAGGCUGUUUUGUAGGUAUCAUGAUGGAAACAGAAACCCUCAUCUGCUCAUAGCUCCCUUUAAGGAAGAAGAUGAAUGGGAUAGCCCUCAUAUUGUACGAUACUAUGAUGUCAUGUCUGAUGAGGAGAUUGAGAAAAUUAAACAACUAGCUAAGCCAAGGCUGGCACGAGCCACAGUACGUGAUCCCAAAACCGGUGUCCUUACAGUGGCUAGCUACAGGGUGUCGAAAAGCUCAUGGCUGGAGGAAGAUGAUGAUCCUGUUGUGGCCAAGGUGAAUCAACGAAUGCAGCAGAUCACAGGGUUAACAGUGAAAACAGCUGAACUGUUGCAGGUUGCCAACUAUGGAAUGGGAGGGCAGUACGAGCCACACUUUGAUUUUUCUAGGAAAGAUGAGCCAGAUGCUUUCAAGCGGUUAGGGACUGGAAAUCGUGUGGCCACUUUUUUAAACUAUGUACCAAGCAGGAGGACACCAAAGUGGUAAUAACAUCUGCUUUAAACAGAAAUUCAAGUUACAGUAGAGAAUGUGGGGACUUGGGGAGUGUAUUAAUAGUAGUUCUGCUGUUUUAAGUUUAGUGGGAGCUGGAUCUGACUCAUUUGUUUCUUUUAAUUAGAAUUUGAUCAAAAACUUACUGAAAUCAGUGGAAAGACUUUAUAUUUUUAAGGAGUGUUUCCAUGAACUUCGGUGGGGUUUGGAUCAAGUCUGGAAUUUGUAGUGAAUCCAUUGUUACUGAUUAAUUCAGGAAGGUUAAAUCCCUUCCAGUGUAGAAGGGCGAAGGAUAAAGAUACAUGCUUUUCUUUAGAGUCAUAUAGCUGUAUGUAUUGAAGCUUGCAAUGCAUAAAGCACUUGAAGUGGCAUAACAUCACUGGUGAACAGCAGAGAAUCAGUGCAGAAAGUGAGGUUUUCUAAUAACUUUUGUAGGGUUUGAAGUGGUUGACCAAGAUGCAUGAACUAAAUUACAAACAUCAGUUCCAAAGACAUGGUUUCAAUUUAUGAGGAAACAUGUGGUUUAACAGACACUUGUUUUCCUAAUUGGGUCAUAAACCAGAAUGAAAUUCUUGAAGCUGCCCGUCUCUGAAUCCUCUCCCUUGUUCUAGAGCAGUAUUUCAUUAACACUGCAGGUACAUAACUUCUGGCGGCUGACUGUCCAAUGGAUUAUAUAUAGUCUAGACGAAAUGCUGAACAAAAGCCAUGAAUAGCAUGCACUGUUACUUCUGCAGUUCAUGCUGGUGGAAGAGCAUCCUUUCCUCAUCAGUGCCUCCAUAGAGGUGCGAGCAGGAAUCUCUGUCAGGGCUUGGGGCACUCUAGCUUGUGGGACUGCAUAUACGAAAAGCUUUGUAAAUGGACAGAGUUUGUGGACUUUGUUUUCUCAGAUGAGUGAUGUAGAAGCUGGAGGAGCUACAGUGUUCCCAGAUUUUGGGGCAGCAAUAUGGCCCAAGAAGGGAACAGCAGUGUUUUGGUACAACCUUUU